UACGGGGGGAGCAAGCGUUGUUCGGAUUUACUGGGCGUAAAGGGCGCGUAGGCGGCCACCGCAAGUCGACUGUGAAAUCUCCGGGCUUAACCCGGAAAGGUCAGCCGAUACUGCGGGGCUAGAGUGCAGAAGGGGCAACUGGAAUUCUCGGUGUAGCGGUGAAAUGCGUAGAUAUGUGGAGGAACACCGAUGGCGAAGGCAGCCCCCUGGGAUGUGACUGACGCUCAUGUACGAAAGCGUGGGGAGCAAACAGG
rnacentral:rRNA from 1 species